UCCUUCGGGGCGGGGUGCGAUUCCCCACCGACGGUGAUGGCUCUUUUGAGAGCACAAGUCCGUGACCCGUAUGAUGCUUGAACCAAGCAUGUGCGGCUGAGCCGGUGAGAUUCCGGGACCGACAGUAUAGUCUGGAUGGGAGAAGGA
rnacentral:ncRNA from 1 species